rnacentral:tRNA from 1 species
GGAGAGAUGGCUCAGUGGUUAAGAGCACUGACUGUUCUUCUUAGAGGUCCUGAGUUCAAUUCCCAGCAACCACA